rnacentral:misc_RNA from 1 species
AACGCACAUUGCGCACUUUGGUAUUCCAAAGGGCAUGCCUGUUCGAGCGUCAUUUGUACCCUCAAGCUUUGCUUGGUGUUGGGCGUUUUUGUCUCUGGUCCGCCAGCGACUCGCCUUAAAAUCAUUGGCAGCCGGCCUACUGGUUUCGGAGCGCAGCACAAAUUUGCGCUUCUUCCAGCAGCGGUCCGCGUCCAUGAAGCCACUUUUUCAACGUUUGACCUCGGAUCAGGUAGGGAUACACGCUGAACUUAA